CGAGAUUAAAUACUGUUUAUACAGUCAUUGAGAGGCUAAACAAAGUUUCUUGCAAGAAGAGGAAGUUGGUGGAUGCAUUCAACUUGGACAACGAAAUCAUAGUUUCGUUUGGCAUCAGUCUGAGGACCAAGGGAGGUUAGAUAGGACCAGUGCAGGUUGAUGUGGAUUUCGAGUCAACAAGUAUAACAGCAAGAGAGGUACUCCAUUUACAGUGAUGAUGACAUAUCCCCUGGACCCCCAAAACUCC